rnacentral:rRNA from 1 species
GCAAUCCUGGUGGCGAGUGGCGAACGGGUGAGUAAUAUAUCGGAACGUGCCCAGAUCGUGGGGGAUAACGCAGCGAAAGCUGUGCUAAUACCGCAUACGAUCUCUGGAUGAAAGCGGGGGACUCGCAAGAGCCUCGCGCGAUUGGAGCGGCCGAUAUCAGAUUAGCUAGUUGGUGGGGUAAAGGCCCACCAAGGCGACGAUCUGUAGCUGGUCUGAGAGGACGACCAGCCACACUGGAACUGAGACACGGUCCAGACUCCUACGGGAGGCAGCAGUGGGGAAUUUUGGACAAUGGGCGCAAGCCUGAUCCAGCAAUGCCGCGUGCAGGAUGAAGGCCUUCGGGUUGUAAACUGCUUUUGUACGGAACGAAAAGGUCUGCCUUAAUACGGUGGGCCCAUGACGGUACCGUAAGAAUAAGCACCGGCUAACUACGUGCCAGCAGCCGCGGUAAUACGUAGGGUGCGAGCGUUAAUCGGAAUUACUGGGCGUAAAGCGUGCGCAGGCGGUUAUAUAAGACAGAUGUGAAAUCCCCGGGCUCAACCUGGGACCUGCAUUUGUGACUGUAUAGCUAGAGUACGGUAGAGGGGGAUGGAAUUCCGCGUGUAGCAGUGAAAUGCGUAGAUAUGCGGAGGAACACCGAUGGCGAAGGCAAUCCCCUGGACCUGUACUGACGCUCAUGCACGAAAGCGUGGGGAGCAAACAGGAU